GGGGGCGACAUUGGCUUCGACGUGGAUUACAAAGCCUUUUGGUGCAUGUCGAGAAUGUAAGCUGCUCUCGUUAAAAACGUUUACAAAUGCUUAACCGCAAACGAUGCAGACGGUAACGUCGCUAUUGCUGCCUAAACAAUAAAGCAGCAACAGUUUAGUGAGUGUGCUUGUGCACUUGCCAAAACUGUUAUUUUCACAAGACCGCUUGUUGCAUUUGCCUAGUGUGCACAAGUUAAAUAAAUACUAAGUUAUAUUAUGCAUAAGCUUGCACGUUGGCUUAGCAUAACGAAAAUGAUAACGAUGCUAAACAUGUAGAGCCUUGGGUCGCGGAUUUACGGACGCGGGUUCAAUCCCCGCCGCCUCCACCA
rnacentral:tmRNA from 1 species